rnacentral:rRNA from 1 species
CCUACGGGAGGCAGCAGUGAGGAAUAUUGGUCAAUGGACGAGAGUCUGAACCAGCCAAGUAGCGUGAAGGAUGACUGCCCUAUGGGUUGUAAACUUCUUUUAUAUGGGAAUAAAAUGUUCCACGUGUGGGAUUUUGUAUGUACCAUAUGAAUAAGGAUCGGCUAACUCCGUGCCAGCAGCCGCGGUAAUACGGAGGAUCCGAGCGUUAUCCGGAUUUAUUGGGUUUAAAGGGAGCGUAGGUGGAUUGUUAAGUCAGUUGUGAAAGUUUGCGGCGCAACCGUAAAAUUGCAGUUGAAACUGGCAGUCUUGAGUACAGUAGAGGUGAGCGGAAUUCGUGGUGUAGCGGUGAAAUGCUUAGAUAUCACGAAGAACUCCGAUUGCGAAGGCAGUUCACUGGACUGCAACUGACACUGAGGCUCGAAAGUGUGGGUAUCAAACAGGAUUAGAUACCCUUGUAGUC